rnacentral:rRNA from 1 species
UACGUAGGGUGCGAGCGUUGUCCGGAAUUAUUGGGCGUAAAGGGCUCGUAGGCGGUUUGUCGCGUCGGGAGUGAAAUCCACUGGCUUAACUGGUGGCUUGCUUUCGAUACGGGCAGACUGGAGGUAUGCAGGGGAGAACGGAAUUCCUGGUGUAGCGGUGAAAUGCGCAGAUAUCAAGAGGAACACCUGAGGUGAAGACGGGUUGCUGGGCCGACACUGACGCUGAUAGCGCGAAAGCCAGGGGAGCAAACGGG